CCUACGGGUGGCAGCAGUGGGGAAUAUUGCACAAUGGGGGAAACCCUGAUGCAGCAACGCCGCGUGGGUGAAGGAGAGUUUCGGCGCGUAAAGCCCUGUCAGCGGGGAAGAAGAAAGACGGGACCCGACCAAGAAGCCCCGGCUAACUACGUGCCAGCAGCCGCGGUAAUACGUAGGGGGCGAGCGUUAUCCGGAACUACGGGGUGUAAAGGGAGCGUAGACGGCGAGGUAAGACUGCAGUGGAAGCCCGCGGCCCCACCGCGGAACUGCGUUGGGAACUGUUUUGCUGGAUUAUUGGAGUGGUAAGCGGAAUUCCUGGUGUAGCGGUGAACUGCGUAGAUAUCAGGCGGAACACCGGUGGCGAAGGCGGCUUACUGGACCAUAACUGACGUUGCGGCUCGACAGCGUGGGGAGCGAACAGGAUUAGAUACCCUAGUAGUC
rnacentral:rRNA from 1 species